GCCGGGCGCUAGUGUGCCAGGCCUCCUUCGCUUUCUGUGUCCUCGUCCCCGCUGACGGCCGGCGCUGAGGUGGCGCCGCAUGGGCGCCACGUCGGACAUAAUCUAGGGUUGCGGGGGUACUGAGCCAGCCGGCUGCGGCGCGGGGGGACCGGAAGGUCCCGGCCCCUUUCCGGUCUCAGCAGCAGCCCGAAUGGGUGGCCUAGUGUUUCGGCCCCCGAGAUUUUGCGGGUCCCACUGAGCCGGGGCUUACUCCCCUCCCACGUACUCCGGGCCAGAGGCCCAAGGUUUAGUCAGAUCUCUUGGGCUAGGAUGCUGAGUCCUGUCAUGACUGGACCAGUUAGUGCCUCCGCCUGAUCCCUGGGAGGAAAAGCAUAACACCCACGCCCUCCCAGCCAUAUUUUCCAGAGAUACUCCUGCCAAAUUCGGGAUUUGGGAUGUCUGUGCAUGAUACGUAGCAAAUAAUUUGCAACAUGCAAGUUCCGUGCUAUCAGGAAGACUAAAAUUAAUGUAUGGAGACUUCCCGUUUUUAAUGAGCACAGAAGAAAGGAAAAUUGUGUAACAGUAGUAUGAUAUGGAGGAAACUGCUCUCGCUGACAGCUCCAGAAGUGAUAUUUAAACCAAUAAAGGUAGCAUCAUCCCUCUUGCUAAGAUGACUGAGCUCAGUACAACCAAAGAGAAGCUAGAGAUUUUUGUUUCUCACUACAGAAUGUCAAUGAGGAAGCAUGUGACUCCAGAUGCUGUUGGCAGGCAUCCUAUGACCACAAAGGGAGCUCACUUUGGAAUGAAGCUGAUGGUCUGAGGAAAGAAAGUAGGGCUUCGAUGAUACUGUUAAACAAUCUAAAACACUGAUCCUACAACCUUUCUGGAUUUUCUAAUGUGUAAACCAAUAAAGCCACUUGUUUAAACCAG